rnacentral:rRNA from 1 species
GGCGGACGGGUGAGUACAUGUCGGGAAACUGCCUGAUGGAGGGGGAUAACUACUGGAAACGGUAGCUAAUACCGCAUAACGUCGCAAGACCAAAGUGGGGGACCUUCGGGCCUUCAUGCCAUCAGAUGUGCCCAGAUGGGAUUAGCUAGUAGGUGGGCGUAACGGCUCACCUAGGCGACGAUCCCUAGCUGGUCGAGAGGAUGACCAGCCACACUGGAACUGAGACACGGUCCAGACUCCUACGGGAGGCAGCAGUGGGGAAUUAUUGCACAAUGGGCGCAAGCCUGAUGCAGCCAUGCCGCCGUGUGUGAAGAAGGCCUUCGGGUUGUAAAGCACUUUCAGCGGGGAGGAAGGCGAUAAGGUUAAUAACCUUGUCGAUUGACGUUACCCGCAGAAAAGCACCGGCCUAACUCCGUGCCAGCAGCCGCGGUAAUACGGAGGGGGCGCAGCGUUAAUCGGAAUUACUGGGCGUAAAGCGCACGCAGGCGGUCUGUCAAGUCGGAUGUGAAAUCCCCGGGCUCACCUGGGAACUGCAUUCGAAACUGGCAGGCUAGAGCUCUUGUAGAGGGGGGUAGAAUUCCAGGUGUAGCGGCUGAAAUGCGUAGAGAUCUGGAGGAAUACCGGUGGCAAGGCGGCCCC